GGCGCCAUGGCUUAAUGGUAAAGCGCCUGUCUAGUAAACAGGAGAUCCUGGGUUCGAUCCCCAGUAGUGCCU
rnacentral:tRNA from 1 species